GUUUGCCUUGUACAUGUGAUUCGAUUGACUCGUAUGGGUUUGUAGAACUUCAACAAGAGAGAACAAAGCUAACUCGUGAUGUUAUACAACUAUCUAUCAAUCUUGCAUCAAGACAAGGCCAUGUCGAUUUCGGAGAUUGUUGUAUGAUGUGUCGGUUGAAGGGUGUGCUCAGUAGUAUAUUAUACCCAAAUAAGUUUAUUGUAGAAGCUAAAGUUGAUGGUGAUAAAUGUCAUCUAAAAGAUAUUAAUGAUAAAACAUACGAAGCCAACUGCAUUGGAGAUGACUAAUUAGAAAAGCAUUAUUUAUAUAUUAAAAAGUAUUCACCUGCUUCUAAGUUGUUAUAAUUUAGACCA